rnacentral:rRNA from 1 species
CUCAGAGUGAACGCUGGCGGCGUGCUUAACACAUGCAAGUCGAACGAGAACGGAUUAUAGCUUGCUAUAAUUGUCAGCUAAGUGGCGCACCGGGUGAAGUAAUGUAUAGGUAAUAUGCCUCUUACUAAGGGAUAACAAAUGGAAACGUUUGCUAAUACCUUAUACUCCUUAUUAACAGAAGUUAAUAAGGGAAAGAUUUAUUGGUAAGAGAUUAGCCUGUAUUGUAUCAGUUAGUUGGUGGGGUAAUGGCUUACCAAGACUAUGACACAUAACUGGUUUGAGAGGAUGAUCAGUCACACUGGAACUGAGACACGGUCCAGACUCCUACGGGAGGCAGCAGUGGGGAAUAUUGCACAAUGGACGAAAGUCUGAUGCAGCAACGCCGCGUGGAGGAUGACACAUUUCGGUGCGUAAACUCCUUUUAUAUGAGAAGAUAAUGACGGUAUUAUAUGAAUAAGCACCGGCUAACUCCGUG